UACGAAGGGGGCUAGCGUUGUUCGGAAUUACUGGGCGUAAAGGGCGCGUAGGCGGUGCCUCAAGUCAGGCGUGAAAGCCCCGGGCUCAACCUGGGAACCGCGCUUGAGACUGGAGUACUAGAGUUCGGGAGAGGAUGGUGGAGUUCCCAGUGUAGAGGUGAAAUUCGUAGAUAUUGGGAAGAACACCGAUGGCGAAGGCAGCCAUCUGGACCGACACUGACGCUGAGGCGCGAAGGCCAGGGGAGCAAACGGG
rnacentral:rRNA from 1 species